rnacentral:rRNA from 1 species
GAUGAACGCUGACAGAAUGCUUAACACAUGCAAGUCAUUGGCGAAGCUGCGCUUGCGCAGUCUAGCCAAGGCGGACGGGUGAGUAACGCGUAAGGAACUUGCCCUGCAGACAGGGAUAACAGACGGAAACGACUGAUAACACCUGGUAUUGUCAGGCUGGCGCAUGCCGGCCUGAUGAAAGGAGACGCUGCAGGAGAGCCUUGCGUCCUAUUAGCUAGUUGGUGGGGUAACGGCCCACCAAGGCGAUGAAAGGUAGCCGGCCUGAGAGGGUGAACGGCCACAAGGGGACUGAGAUACGGCCCUUACUCCUACGGGAGGCAGCAGUGGGGAAUAUUGGACAAUGGGGGCAACCCUGAUCCAGCAAUUCUGUGUGCACGAAGAAGGUUUUCGGAUUGUAAAGUGCUUUCAGCAGGGAAGAAGAAAGUGACGGUACCUGCAGAAGAAGCGACGGCUAAAUACGUG